rfam:Otolemur garnettii contig036041, whole genome shotgun sequence.
GUGCCUGUGGCUCAGUGGAGUAGGGUGCUGGCCCCAUAUGCCAGAGGUGGUGGGUUCAAACCCAGCCUGGGCCA